GCAUGCCUGUAGUCCCAGCUACUUGGGAGGCUGAGGCAGGAGAAUCCCUUGAACCUGGGAGGCGGAGGUUGCAGUGAGCUGAGAUCAUGCCACUGCACUACAGCCUGGACGACAGAGUGAAACUCUGUCUCGGAAAAAAAAAAAAAAAAAAAAAAAAAGUAAAGAAAAAGAAAUGGCUUUAAAAAUUAUUCCGGUUUUUAGUUAUUCUGUUGAAUUAUUCAUUACUAAAGUUAUGUUCCAUUUGAAGAUGCAAUUUGAAUUUCUUAUGUGACAUCUGUUGGGCAUAGUCUGCAAUAGCAGAUGAAGCAAAUAGGAAAGUAAUUUAUUCAUCUUUUAAAAUCUUUCAAUUGAGACUAAUAAAAAUGUAUGAAUACAUUG
rnacentral:sRNA from 1 species